AUGGACAGACUGAUUCUGCUGACAGCCCUCUGUCUGCCCUCUUUGAAUGGCCAAACUCUGGAGUCCAUCCCCUCCACUGCAGUGCCAGCCUCUGUGACUGUGCAGCCAGGUCAACGUCUGACCAUCACCUGUCAGGUCUCUUAUUCUCUUAGCAGCUACUUCACAGCCUGGAUCAGACAGCCUGCAGGGAAAGGACUGGAGUGGAUUGGUAGCAAAUACACUGGAGAAACAUACUACAAAGAUUCACUGAAGAGCAAGUUCAGUAUCGACUUAGACUCUUCCAGCAACACAGUGACUCUGAACGGACAGAGCGUGCAGCCUGGAGACUCUGCUGUGUAUUACUGUGCCAGAGACACACUGUGA